CAGCGCGUGCAAUAAUCUCGAUAUCUACCAUAAUAUUUCUAUCGAAUAAUGAUUUGAUCUGAUCCCACUCUCGCUCAAGAAAUGCCGAAACACCAAACAGGCUUCAUAGCCAGAUUGUUCCAAGAUUUGUCUUUGCUCAUCACACAGUUUACUAUUUUUUCCUUCAGCUGAAACCUGAGACACAGCUGGCGGGAAAAAAUAACCUGAGAGGAUGAAUUGGAUGGAGACUGUCUGUACCAGAGCGGAUGGGAAAUUCUGAUGUCAUCAACCUUGGCACAGCAGGACAGAGGAGCAUGCAGACCCUCAGGGUGCCACGAUUGGUGCCCAUGUGUUUGUGCCCUGUAGAUGGUGAAAUAGAUGGUGUGGUGCUGCCCGCCUGUGCUGCACCUGCGUCCCAGCAUGCUGAUUGAUCAGUUUGGUCAUGUGGAAUGUCACCAUCUGCUCCCCUGUCCCACUCACCCCUUCUUGUGUGAAUGCCAAUCACUGGCAGGAAGAUAGUUAUUUAAGCCAUGUCAAAUCAGGCGCAUGACGAUGAGCAAUAUGCCAACAACACUUGAAAUGUGUGUUGCAGGCAUCGUAUGCACAACAGCGUAUCUUACAGUAAAAGGGCAACUGUGACUUCAGACUGCAAAAGGGUAUCUUUUACUUUUGUACCUAUUGGUUAGCCACGUCAGUAUCAUUUUUUCCCUUACAGAAUAUAAUCAGAAUUUGUGCAACUCUUGUUGCAAAAAUUUUAUUUGAUAAUUGAGGCUUGCAAUGAUUGCGUGUGAGUGUGUUUGUAUUUGUUUGCAUAUAAAAGUCUUUCUAUUUCCUGCCUUUUAUUUGGAGCACAGCUCCUUAUUUAUUUCUCCUCCAUCCCCUUUGGUUGCUCUUUUUUGGACUCUUAAUGGCCAACAACGUAUCAGGGGGCCAUCAGGAGUGACAUUCUUCAUUGUAGAGCGUCAUAACCAAUGACAUUUCAACCAUGGGAAAAUAAAGAUAUGCAAAUUUGAACUCAUUAA